rnacentral:rRNA from 1 species
AGGGCGUAUGGUGGAUGCCUUGGCGCCAGGAGGCGAAGAAGGACGCGGCAAGCAGCGAAAUGCCACGGGGAGUUGCAAGCGAGCAUGGAUCCGUGGAUAUCCGAAUGGGGGAACCCAAUAGAGGCGAACCUCUAUUAUCCCCACCUGAAUAAAUAGGGUGGGAGAAGCCAACCCGGUGAAUUGAAACAUCUUAGUAACCGGAGGAAAAGAAAUCAAGCGAGAUACCCCAAGUAGCGGCGAGCGAACGGGGAGGAGCCCAAACCAUAUAUGUGUAAGCCUGCAAGCGUUGCAUAUAUGGGGUUGAGGGGCAGGCAGGGUGUAGUUGCAGAUACAUCGAAGAGUUACAAACCCAUUGUUUAGGCGAACAUUUCUGGAAAGUCAGGCCACAGAGAGUGAAAGCCUCGUAGCCGAAAAGCAAUGGACUCUUAGCCAUGACCCCGAGUACCGCCGGACACGUGGAACCCGGUGGGAAGCAGGGAGGACCACCUUCCAAGGCUAAACACUACCUGGCGACCGAUAGCGGACAGUACCGUGAGGGAAAGGUGAAAAGCACCCCGGGAGGGGAGUGAAAUAGGACCUGAAACCAUAUGCUUACAAACAGUAGGAGCACUAUUCGGAGGUCGGAGGUCAGAGGUCAGAAGUCAGAUAUAGAAGAAGAAACUGGCGAAGCCAGUUUCAACUAGUCCGACAUCCGAUUUCCGACCUCAGACUUCCGAAGUGUGACUGCGUACCUUUUGUAGAAUGGGCCAGCGAGUUACGAUAUCAUGCGAGGUUAAAUCUAUAGAGGAUGGAGCCGUAGCGAAAGCGAGUCUUAAGAGGGCGGAUUAGUAUGAUGUUGUAGACCCGAAACCGGGUGAUCUAUCCAUGGCCAGGGUGAAGUUUUGGUAACACAAAAUGGAGGCCCGAACCAGAGUGCGUUGAAAAGUACGUGGAUGAGUUGUGGAUAGGGGUGAAAUGCCAAUCGAACCCGGAGAUAGCUGGUUCUCCCCGAAAUAGCUUUAGGGCUAGCGUUAUAUGGUGCCUUAUGGGGGUAGAGCACUGGUUAGGCUAGGGGCCUUCACCGGUUACCGAACCAUCCCAAACUGCGAAUACCAUAAGGUUAAUAUAGCAGUCAGACUAUGGGUGACAAGGUCCAUAGUCGAGAGGGAAACAGCCCAGACCAACAGCUAAGGUCCCAAAAUCUAUGCUAAGUGGGAAAGGAAGUAGAGCCGCACAGACAGCCAGGAUGUUGGCUUAGAAGCAGCCACCAUUUAAAGAGUGCGUAAUAGCUCACUGGUCAAGUGGCUCUGCGCCGAAAAUGUAACGGGGCUAAGCAUAGUACCGAAGCUUUGGAUACGGAGGACGGAUGACAGAGGACAGAAGACGGAGGGUCUUUCAAUGGCAAUUAAAAGCUAUGAAGAUCUGGUAGUCUAUCAAGAAAGUUAUAGACUUGCCUUGGAGAUGCACCAGAUAUGCUUGCGAUUACCAAAGGAAGAAAAGUAUGAGCUAGUUCCUCAGAUAAGGAGAGCAGCCAUAUCAAUACCCGCCAACAUAGCCGAAGGUUAUGGAAGAAGGAAUUCUGAAAAAGAAUUCAAGCAUUUCUUAAGAAAUGCCAUGGGUUCAACGAAUGAAGUCAAGGUAUAUAUUGAUAUGAUAAAAGACCUUGGAUAUAUCGAGCAAGAGACCCAUAAGCAACUGAAAGCAAGAUAUGAAACAGUCAACAAGCAGAUAUACCGACUCAUUCAGAAAUGGACUAAAUACGAAACAGAAAGAUCCGACUUCUGACUUCCGUCAUCCGACUUCCGUAUGGUAGGGGAGCGUUCCUAUUGGGCAGAAGCUAUACCGUAAGGAGUAGUGGACUGAUAGGAAGAGAGAAUGCUGGCAUAAGUAAGCGAGAAGGCAGGUGAGAAUCCUGCCCGCCGAAAGCCUAAGGUUUCCUGGGGAAGGCUCGUCCGCCCAGGGUAAGCCGGGACCUAACCCGAGGCCGAAAGGCGUAGGGGAUGGACAACUGGUUGAGAAUCCAGUGCCACUAGCCAACGUUUGAAGCGAAGGGGUGACGCAGGAGGAUAGGUGAAGCGCACGGAUGGAAGAGUGCGUCCAAGCACGUAGGGGGUGAGACAGGCAAAUCCGUCUCACGAAACCUUGAGGUGUUAAGGGGAGCGAAAAUAAGUAGCGAAGUCAUUGACUCCAGACUGCCAAGAAAAGCCUCUAGUGAGGAAGCUAGUGCCCGUACCGCAAACCGACACAGGUAGGCAAGGAGAGAAUCCUAAGGCGCGCGAGAGAACCCUCGUUAAGGAACUCGGCAAAAUGACCCCGUAACUUAGGGAGAAGGGGUGCUUCAUUAGCGUGAGUACGUUUUACAUGUACGAGCGUGAGGGAGCCGCAGUGAACAGGCCCAGGCGACUGUUUACCAAAAACACAGGUCUCUGCGAAAUCGAAAGAUGAAGUAUAGAGGCUGACGCCUGCCCGGUGCCGGAAGGUUAAGGGGAGAGGUUAGCUGAGCGGAAGUCAGAGGUCAGAGGUAGGAGGUCAGAGAUUAGGGGAGAAACUGGUGGAGCCAGUUUCAAUAAGAAUCCGACAUCCGACUUCCGAUUUCCGACUUCCGUUCGGCGAAGCUUUGAACCGAAGCCCCGGUGAACGGCGGCCGUAACUAUAACGGUCCUAAGGUAGCGAAAUUCCUUGUCUGGUAAGUUCAGACCCGCACGAAAGGCGUAACGAUCUGGGCGCUGUCUCGACGAGGGGCUCGGUGAAAUUGUAAUACCGGUGAAGAUGCCGGUUACCUGCGAUAGGACAGAAAGACCCCGUGGAGCUUUACUGCAGCUUGAUAUUGGAUUUUGGUAGUUCAUGUACAGGAUAGGUGGGAGGCAGAGAAAGCAGGUCGCAAGGCUUGCUGGAGCCAAUGGUGGGAUACCACUCUUGGAUUGCUGGAGUUCUAACCUGGCACCCUGAUCGGGUGUAGGGACAGUGUCAGGCGGGCAGUUUGACUGGGGCGGUCGCCUCCGAAAGAGUAACGGAGGCGCCCAAAGGUUCCCUCAGCGCGGAUGGAAAUCGCGCGAAGAGUGUAAAGGCAGAAGGGAGCUUGACUGCGAGAGAGACAUCUCGAGCAGGGACGAAAGUCGGGCUUAGUGAUCCGGUGGUUCCGAGUGGAAGGGCCAUCGCUCAACGGAUAAAAGCUACCCCGGGGAUAACAGGCUUAUCUCGCCCAAGAGU